rnacentral:lncRNA from 1 species
CAGCGCUCGAGUGAAGAGUGACAGCGCCGCAAGAGCGGGAGGGAGCGCCGAACCCCGCGAACCUACGAAACAGGUGCAUGCGCCGAUCUCCUGGCCAGUGGACCCAGCUCGCAAGGUACGUCUGGACUCAUCCAGCCAUGUGCCUUUCUCUGAGGCUCAGAAAAGACCCGUUUCCUUGAGGGUGAGGAUAGGGACUGUUCUGGGAUCCUACUCCGCUCCCGGUCAUUGAAAAGCGGCCAGGUGGUGGUCCCGAAUUACCUGGCUUCAUAUUUUAAAAAUCAUGGAAUUGGUUCUUGAGGAUUCCCCUGCCCAUCGAUACUAGGUUUGUGUUCGGAAGUUUUCAGCCCUCCGUGUUUUUCCUUUGACUUCGCUGCUCGUGUGUGUGGCGAGGAGAACGGGGAGCAGUAAGCCUGCGGUUAAGGCUAAAAUGCCAUCGUGCAGCAUGGACUAAUUGAAUCAACACGUAUGGAGAGCAACAAUCUUUUUAGGUCCUGCUCUGGAAAGGGUCCAUUUGGCCGGGAGCAGCCGUUCGCUGUUACUCAAUCUCCUGAAAAGUAACCAUAGUAACUCACCUCUCUUUUGAUGGGAUCCUCCUCAUUGGCUGCCUAUCUUCCUUUGGAAAGCUCAUCUCUCUAAAUAUAGAAGAUGAUGAGAUCUGUAAGCAUACAUCCAUGUAGAAAAGGUGCAGUUAAACAUGGCCCUUUAAAGAAAAACUAUCUUCAAAGAAGAAGUACCAUUUGGCUAUUUCAAAUCUUGCGAGAAAUCGUGUGUAGUACAGAGAAUGAUUGAGUUGCUGUUUUGAGUUAACUGAUGGAUUGCAACUUUAGAGAGAAUGUAUCUUGAAAUUAUACAACAUCUGGCAUUUAAAAACAAAUUAAGUACAUCUGACCCCAAUUUCAAAAGAAAAUCAACCUACCGAUAACAUCCCCCAAAUAAUCUGCCAGUAAAUAAUUGGAGAAAUUGGUUAUUCACUUUUUUCCAAAUUUCUUAGGAUAGCUAAGACUCCUUCUGUUUAAAAUUAAAUCUGGAGAACACGAAAGUAAUGGUAUGUGCUUGAAGGUUAAUCUAGUUAAUCCAUCUGGUCCAGAACAGCUCCACCUUGAACAUCUUGCAUAGUAUCCCCCUGCUGCAUGCGUUCUCCUGACUUGAUAACCAGUUCAAAUCAGCACAGUCCUGGCUCUCCCCAUGUUAUUUUGCAUCUGUCUCCGUUGUUUCACAAUCUCAGGUUGCCAUUCAUGAGCCCGAGGCUGUGAGAAAUGCUCGCUGUGCAAAGGGGAGCUCUCACCAGAUUCUCUGAAGCUGUCCUAGAAAUACACUUUUCAGAUUGAUUCAGCUUUACCAGGUAAUCACUAGCUUAAAAGAAAUUACUGUUUAAAUAUGUAUCCAAAGAAAUAAAUGCUAAUGUAGCAUUACCAUAACUCACAAGAUCAAUGUAAGGGGUUGUUUAUAUAGAUGGUUGCUGGGUAAACGUCGAUAGAGGUUUUCCGUAGAGAGGACAUUUGUGGGCUGGCAGAUUUUCCUAAGACCCAAGUGAAUAGGGUGGGCCAAAUUAGGUAGCCUGCCUUGGGGAGCAUGUCAAGCGGAAGCCCUAUGAGCAAACUGGUGCAUGUCUGAAUGAAAGAAAUGAAAAGGAGUCUCCAAGUCGCAAAAGGAGAUCUUGGUGAUUUUUUAAAAUUUAAUUUGCACUAAGGUCAUGAGGAUAGAAACUUAGGAGUAUUAAGCAUCUGAAACCAAAUUUUCAAGUCAGAAUACAUUUAAUGAGUGCUAAGCUCUCCAGUGCUGUGUUUAACUUUCACAUGUACAGUUCCUGUAGGUAACCGGCCUAGCAAAUUGCAAUCAAAUUCAUGAAAAUACAGCAGGCUGCAUUUCUUCCCUCAUUUUACGUCUCUUUGUAAAAGUAAAUAACUGAGCGGUUUUAUUUAGAAACCUGUUUGAAAAUUUAUUCUGGUCUAAUUGUAGGUUUUUUUAUGAUUAUCAUGAGACUUUAAAAGUACUGGUGUCCAUAGUCACUUAUUGAAAUACCUUUGGUAAUUUUAAACAUUAAAGAUGACCACUAACACUAUCAUUUGCCUUUAGUACCAUGACACCUUUUUCCUUUCUCCAUUAUAAUUACUUUAUUUUAUGGUAAGCAGCAAAUCCAAGGAGACCAAUAAGAUUUAUUGUCAUCUGCGAUGAGAUGUAUGUAGAAUUCUAGCCAUGCUAUCAAUCUGAGGAAAGUUUGAAUAAGCCACAAGUAUUGGCUCAUGCAUAUGCAUUAGUCUUGUGCAUUCGUAAUUUAUACACAUCCUAUCUCUUAUGUAAUAUGCAUAGGAGUUUAAAAUCAUUCAGUGCCCUUUAAUUUACAUGAAAAGGCCUGCCCUUUCAUUGAGACCACUAUUGCAAUCAAGAAGGUCAAGUGAAAAGGGUUCUUAAAUUUUAAUUUUGACUCUAUCCUGAAUGUAUAAUGUGCAGAAUAUAUCCUGUACACUUUUGAUGAACAUAUCUGUUUGAAGUCAUUCACCAGAAAAUUUUAUCAUGGUAAUUAGCUUUAAAUAAAUGAAACUAAAUCAAAUGGUAUCAUUAUAAUAUAAAUGCUUAAUUCUAGAGCUAUUGGUAGAUCCUAAGGAAGAGUGUAAAAAAAAAUUCCACAGCUUUGUAGUUCAGGAUAUAGUCACUCUUGUCGAUGGGAAUGCCAGCUGUACUUGUACGUACAGUGAGUUCUAAAAGGGGGAUGUCAUUCGGGCUAUAAGGCUUAGAUCAAGCUGAGAUCAAGCAGGUUAAAACUGAAACCAUGUUCCAAUUUCAGUUUCUCCUCAUAUAUUCUAUUUGGAAGUGUUUAUGUGUCUACGAACAUUCCAUGUUUAAUUUUAUGCCAUGUUGCUUUCCUGGGAUUUAGAAGAUGCUUUGAAACAUGGAGAAAUGUUGAAAGGUUUGAUCAAGAUGCCAAAGCCCUGGGCUCUGCACUGAGGACUCAUGCCAGCUGGCUUUAGCUGUCAAAACACCGACACCCUUACAAUAGCUCUAAAGCUGAGGCAUAACCAGUUUGGAUUGCUCUAUUUGUCAAAGCAAUAUGCUUCAGAAACCUAGAGAAAGGUGAAAUAAAAUAAUAUUUCAGAAGCAGAGGGGUAAACUGACCGUAGGCAUUCACAACUAAAACUGAGGAAGAAGUGCACCUUCCAUUCUGGGGGGAGCAGCUCCGUGUCAGUCCCCCCCCCCACCCCCAAUCUUUCUAAGAAGUUGUCUGUUUAGCUAGUGUCAAUACAUUACUUUAACAUUUCCCCUUUUUGGGCUAACACAAGUAUUUCUAAAAUUUUUCCUGAUUACAUUUAUGUUAACAGACUAAUAACAGAGCCAUCUAGUUUGUUGCAAUAUUUCUCACUGGGGUCAUAAGGGGAUAUUAAUAAAAAGGACUAAAGGCUUGCUAGUAUUAUGUUCAGCAUUAUGAUAUAGCUUUAUCACUAGAAUUUUUUUUAGAAGUUUUUUUUCAUCUUAUACUGUGCAGCAAAAAGUCUUCUUGGCAGGUAGAUACAAGAGUCUUCUAAAUAUCAGUGAUGCUUAGAAGGGGAGGAGGGGCAGGUUUGAAGGUGGGAAAUCCCCCCUGUGGUGAUGUAUCAGAGUAUUUAUUCUUUUAGAAAACCAUUAUUAAAAGGGAGCAUGGGCUACAAACAUCAAGAAAAGUUGGGGAUGUUGCAAAGAGAAUCACAGCUCAAGAGCCUCAAGUGUCUAUUUUGUCUGCAUGGGCUACUUGCUUUACUGCUCUGUGGCUCGUCUCCCCAUAUCUGAUGUGGGGCAUAAAUCUAGCUAUUAACUUAAGCAGAGUGCUGGGGUUGAACACAAUUCAAUUUAAUGAAGCACCAAAAUUUUAGAGGAAAGGGAACCUGUGAAUGAGGGACAUUUCACCACCAGAGUAACUCUGGGUGGUGACACAAAUUAGGCAAUACAAGGGAAGGCAGAGAAUCACCCCACUCUGGGACAAAUUGUCCUAUAUUCUUAGUAAAGUUAAUGAUUAGUCCAUCUUAUGUUUUUCUACAACCCUUCUGGGGUACCUGGCUAAAUGUUGUUGGCGAUAUACUCAAACCUGGUGGUGGCAUCGAAGUGGAAGACAAUGAGGGUGAUAUAGAUUAAGUAUUUCUUCAUAAGAUCUCUGCAGUCCACAUGUGGGGGAUUGAAAAGCCCUCCUCUCUGAGCAACAGACCUGGGUAUCUAAGGAAGUUAUAACAUCUCCCGAGACAUCUCAUCAGUAAGAUAUUUCUUGGAACCUAUAUCUAGCAAUGUGAGUGCUUUGCCAAUUUUCUUUCUGAUUCAUUCCCACUUUCCAAGGUGUAGUAAAAGGGAGCAUUAUCCUUUAAAACAAGGAAUGGGGGUGCCUGGGUGACUCAGUCAGUUAAGUAUCCAACUUUAGCUCAGGUCAUGAUCUCGCGGUUCGUGGGUUUGAGCCCCAUUGUCAGGCUGUGUUGACAGCUCAAGCCUGGAGCCUGCUUCAGAUUCUGUGUCUCCCUCUCUCUCUCUCUGCUCCUCCCCUGCUUGUUCUCUUUUUCUCUCAAAAAUAAAUAAACAUUAAAAAAAUUAAAUCAAGGAAUGCACUUCUGAGGGGUGGUAAAUCACUAAAUUUACCCAUGGAACUUCUUGCACUUGGUGUCUGUCAGUAGGGCCAGAUCAUGGCAAAAAUUAGGCUUUGGUGCAGCAACUAAGGUAACUUCAUGAAGGUAACUUAUGAAAUGGGAUAUGACCAGCCAUGUAAUAAUGCUCUCUUUGGUUCAGAGGUCAUCAGCAGCGGAACAAGAUAGGCUGUGGAAGGGUGGUGUUUUAUUUAUUAUUCCAUAUGUACACUUGGGGCUAUCCUGAGGGACGUGGAAUCCAGUCCCAGACACUGCUUCUGGUCUUGGGAAACUUCUCUUUCUUGUUAGUAUCCCUGGAAGUUCCUAAGAAACUUUGCCAGGAGCUACAACUUGUUGGUAAUUCUAAACUGCCAGCAAAGUCAAUCUUGUGCUUGGAGUGGGUGAUAAAUCUGUAGAAACAGAUUGUUCCAUUGAUUGAUUUGGAGCUAAAAACUGCCACUGAAUUCUGCUCCAUAGAAUAUAUUAUCUAGAAGUGUGCCAGGCAAGGGGUUAUAAGGGACAAAACUGAUGGAAAAUUGCUAUCACAAAACUCAAGGUCUACAAAAGGAGCAGUAUUGCAGCCUUGAAUGUUGCUUCCAUCUACCUCCUUGAGCGCACUUGUGAAUGUUUCAUGCUACUGUGCUCAACACAAAAGAGAGGACAAAUGUCCUGCUUUAACACGGUACUGCUUAAUAGGACACAUAUUUAUGAUUUCAAAAAUGAGAUCACUACACUCACAACACCUAAAAUUUAUUGAGUAGAAAAUGUGUGGAAAUGUGACAAGCCCUGGCUGAGUAAGUGCUUUUAAAAUAUCAUCUCCCUUAAUUCACAUACAACUCAGUGAGUUUGAUAUUGUUCCUCCAUUUAAUUGAUGAGGAAACUCAGGCUCUGUGAGGUUAAAGUCACUAAGCAAAUAAAUUGUAGAGUUGGGAUUUGAACUAGUGCUGUUUCACAGCACUAGAAAAUCCUGUUGAAAUAUUUUAAGCCUUGUAGCAAGACUGAAGAAUGCAGCUAACAGGGACAGAUGAUACAGCUCUUUCUAAACAAAAAUGGUUGUUGCCUUUAAGGAAGGACGUGUUCUAGCUCUGCGACUAGCAAAACAUUAGGUAGUUAGGUAGGGACAUGUACUUUCUAAGGCUCACGCCAGGCUAAUGCCACGCAAAGGGAAAUCAAUGAGGGACCGGAAGUCGGGGCCCCGUGAUUUGUACACAAGUCAGCUGUUGAUCAGAGGCUAGACCCCACCUUAGUCUCCCCAUUGAUCAGACUGUUCUUUUGUCUGUGGCUACAGAGGCACAUCUACUAGGAGGAUCUCAGCUCGGGUUUUGCAGUCUAUUGAUCAAGGUGUUGUGGGGAAGAGAAUGGAAACGUGGUUAAAAUGAAGAUAUGUGAAAGCCAUCACUUCUUCACCAUCUCUCAGGCUUUUCAGGCUCAGACAAAGAAUGGAUCUCCAUGACGGCCUUGUUCUUUUAUUAUUGUCUGUUCUCUCAAAGUGUUUGUAAAUUAAUUUGCUGAUGAUCUUUCCUUAAUGUACUGCCCCUGGGCCGUGUACCUAAUGAAAUCACUUGUGCAGUAAUAGGAUUCCAGAUGUCUGGAGGCAGGGGCAGAACAAUAGGAGGAGCACUUGAGCAAUCGUUUGUAAUUACAUUUGAAACAUUUAUUUUAAAAAUGUGUAUAAAUUGUGCUGCUGGAACCCUAAUGACGGGGGCGGUCAUUCUGUUGCCUGACUUCUCAUGUGUUGCUUCUUGAAGUUUUACACUGUGAAAUGCGUUGGGCUGGACACAGGUAUUUUAUGUGUGAAUAUCCAAGCCAGAGUUAACCCUUUUACCUUUGGAGAUAAAUUUAGGUGCAGCCUAAUUCUGUUUUGUAAUUCAUAUGCUGUUCUCAGACCUCAAAACUGAAAAUGAACACAUAAAAUCAUUUUGAUUUUUUCCUGCGUAUCUCAACUCUCUGGAUUGAGUUUGGCUUUUUAGUUACGGGAGAAUGAUAUAAACAGAUCUACGUGUGCUUGCUGGAUCGUAACAGGCAAAUUUCUUUGGAUAUCUGGAGUAACUUUAAUUCUUCAAAUGGCUAUCUGGAUGUUUCAAAAACAAUUGACAUUUGUUUCACCCCAAAUGUAUGACCAGUGGCAGUAAAUUCAGAAACAUUUUCUUGGAGUCGUCAUAGCACCUGUACCGUAUUUUUUUUUUUCUCACUUGAUCAUUUGAAAUAUUCUUUUGUAGUCUUUUAACUCCCAAAUUACCAUCUAGUAUCUCUGGGAGGAAGGGUGGUAGAAAGAGUCUUAGGGUCAGAGCUAGGAGGCCAGGCUGGCAUUUGUGUUUGUAGGAUAGGUCUGUGCCUGUUGGCACUAAUAAGAGUUCAGAUUUGAUUGAGUGCUUACUAUAUGCUUGGCACAGUGCCAGUCCCUUUCCAUGAAUUAUUUCAACAAUCCUAUGAGCCAGUGAUAUUUCUGUCCCCACUUUACAAAUGAGACUUGUAACAUGUUUAUAUGAUUUUCUCAAGGCCACACAACUAAGAAAAAGCAGACCUGGAAUUCAAACCCACUUCAACCUGACUUCAAAACCCAAACUCAUAGCCACAUAACUGAUUGUAAAUCACAGAACCCUUCUGAGCUACAGUUUCUUCAUCUGUAAACUUUGGAGGCCAAAUCAGGUAGUCAAUAAAUAAAUUUCCAGCUCUGAAUUUUUUGAGUUUCAAUCCAGCCAAGAAAACAGAUGUAGGAACUUAUGUUUGCUAUAUAUUUUAGCCUCAAAGUGGCUAAAAGCAUCCUCCAAAAACAUUUAUGCCAAAAACAUUGCAAAUAGCUAAACAGCCUGCAAGGAGGUAAUUGUCAAACCAAUACCAGCUGUGAAAGCUUUUCAGCAUUUCAACAACCCUUGGGGGUGUUUUUUAAGAGCAAUAAACUAAGUGGCUAAGUGUGUUGCCCAUGGAGCUGAGACACAAAUCUGGACCCCUGAGAAUUUACUGUGUUUUCAGGGUGUAAUACAUUCUGUAUCUGAGGCUCACUUCUCCAACACAUCCAAACUAGAUCUUAAUGAACCUUGGAGACAUUUAGUAUAAUUUUCUGGUCUUGAUCUAUCAAUUAAAAGUACCUUCCCCAGAGCAUCACUUGGUUUAGUUGAUGUUUGGUUUUCCAAAGCUGCCACCGGCCUUGCCUUGUGUCAUUCACUCAAAAGUUUUCAUUUGGUCUUAAAUGCUACAGGUAUUGCAUUCCUUUGGAAAAUAAAAUGAGCAGAUGUUAAAAAGCAAAACAUACAUAGACAAAAUGUUUGCUAUGGUAAAGUCGUUCUUCUUCUUUCCAAGUCUUUCAUCUAUCCUUUCCUACUGUAAUAAUCCUUUGGGCCUUAUUUAUUUAUUUAUUUAUUUAUUUAUUUUAAGUGACCUGUCCAGCUUUAAUGCUAAUAACAGUCAUUGAUACUUCUUAAUGUGAACCCAGAAUUUAUGUUGAACAGUGACCUCAUUCUUCCUUGACUAUUUAGUUAAAAGGCACUCUGGCUUUGUUCAUGAUGCUACAGCAUCGAAGCCAAUGUAGCCAAUGUUGCGAUAGCAAAACCACCACCAACAAAAAUCAAUCAAGCUGAUUGCUUGGCAUUCAGAUGAUAAGGCAAUCAGUUGAUGGGCCGAAUGUUCUGCCUUUCUACUUGCUGUUGUAGUGCAACUGCCAUGCCUGUCCAGUGUUCUCAAAAUGUGGUCCCCACCCCUGCAGGCUCAGGGUCACCUGGAAAUUUGUUAGAAAUGUAAAUUUUCUGCUCCUGGUCCAGAGCUCCUGAAUUAGACAUUGUGGGGGUGGGACCCAGCAAUUUGUGAUUUGAAGAGCCCUUCAGAUGAUUCUGAUGCUCUCCAACACUUGAGAUCCAUUGUAGCGUCAACUAGUUAAACAGUUAAAAAAGAAUUCAGUCACAAUAGCUAAUUGUCAUCACAGAAUAUCCCAAAGCUUCACGUAAUUCUUUGGUUAAAUGCUUUCAAAAUACAUGAAAGAAAACGCAGUCUACUAAAAAGAAACAAAAACCCCCAAACCAAAAAACAGCCCCUGAGAAAACUGGAUUCCUUAAUGCUUUUUGUUUUCAAUACAAUCCAUUUUGUUCUUUUUUCGCCCCAACCUUUUGAAAUCUGUGAAUACUCCAUAUAAAUUGAGUUCUGCUUAUUGAAUUCAGAGACCACGUACAUACAGUGGCAACUGUUGUUUUUGCUUCAGUUGUGAAAGAUCAUCGCACAUUUGUCUCCUUUUAGGUCAGACACACCAGUGUUUAAAAUUCUUACUGCCCUUACAGAUCAUGCCCAUUCUAAUUGAAGACUCUUGGGUUUACAAUUCACACUGGUAUCAAUGAACAUUUGGAAUGCUUUAGGUGUGAUUUUUGUAGCUUUACCUACUGGUUUAGGAAAACCAUCCAGCAGCUACCAAAGUUGCAGGAAGUGUUAAAUAGAUGUCACUAAAUUGGAAGAAAAGUUAGAAGCAGCAGGUUCUUGAAGUACACAUUCUUAAUAUAUAAGAUUUUUUUAAAUUUAAAAUGUCAGAGGUAAAACAUCAAAAGUCUUAAUGGUAAAUUUAUUUAACCAACACAUUAAUAAAUUACUCAUUUUGUGAGUCAAAUGGUUUCAAUACCUAGCAGUAUUUGAAGGUAUGGAUUAAAAGUAAAAUAGAUGAUGUAUAAAUAUGAGCAUUUAUUUUGGUUCUGCCCCCUGAGGUUGAAUGAGCAUGUACUCACCAGGACUCAAUUUGUAUUCUAAAUUCAUUCAGUGUUUUCACUAGGAAGCUACUUGUCCUUUGCUUCUAAAGUUGAACUUGCCUCUUUUGUGUGAUAUGAGCACCACCUACAGUACAUAGUAGGAACUCCCUUCAAACCAAAUGCUUUCUGAAAAUCCACUUCCAGAACACUACUGUCCUUCCUUAAAUAAGGCAGAAUCCUCAAUUUUUUUAAUGUUUAUUUAUUUUUUAUUAUUUUUGAGAGAGAGAGAGAGAGAGAGAGAGAGCUAGAGAAGGGGAGGGGCAGAGACAGGGGAGACACAGAAUCUGAAGCAGGCUCCAGGCUUUGAGCUGUCAGCAUAGGGCCUGACAUGGGGCUCAAACCCACCAACCAUGAAUAGUAUUUUAAAGGAGAGAACAAAGUUUUCACGUUCAGAUAUUAUACCAAGCUCAAGUUUGCUAGUCAAGAUGCUAUUUAAACCUCUCGUUUCCAUGUGAUUAACCUCUGUGUUAUCAUAGGGUUUGUCUAUAGACACACAUAUCAUAGGGUUUGUCUAUAGACACACAUGAUUGCUUCUUUAAAGCGUAAUUGGGUUACCAACCAUUUUACACCAAUUGGAUUAACCUACGUUAACCUAGCAACAUUAAAUUCCCUUUGUAAAUUAGGGAGUUUAACUAAAAGAAUGAUGAAAAAUGACUUCCCUCUUUCCAUUGAUUUUGUGAAUCAACUUCAAAUUGGGGAAUAUUUUGACAUUAAAUGGCAUGAAAUUAAAUAGAGUAUUGGUAAGUAUUCAUUUUUGAGGACCAACAUAAGGAAAUACAUAUAAUUCAUCAACGCGGAACAUCUAUUUUGGGUCUGAGUAGUGGCUAUUACCUACAAACAGGCUUUUUGGUCACAAGAGAAUUGCUACGGAUGACUUUUAACACAUUGCUUAGCAAAUUCUUCAUUUACUAAGAAUUUUCUUUUCCAGGGUCAACCAACAGUUUCUUCUUAUAAGUAGAAUGUAUAAAAUGCUGUUUUGCACAAUAAAAUCUGACUUUUCUCUCAUUAUCUUAUUUUGUUUAGCUUAUCCAACAAAAGUAUUAACAUAUACAUUAACAACGUCGAAAGUAGCCUACUUUAAGAGAAAAUAUGCAGAAGAAGAAGAUUUACAUCAAGAUUACCAUGGGUAUUUUCCAAAAGUAAGGGUUUGCUUAUCAUUAUUUGUUCCUUUUUAUGAGUCUUGUCAAUAGCAAAAAGCUCUAGUUUUCUUUUUUUCUAAAAAUAGAUAAUGAUGUAUUUGCUUUCCAGCACCUGAUAUUGCCUGAGGACAGGACUUGCAUUCUCAAACUUUCUCUGGAGAAGCUCAGGUUUCUUGAAGACCCAGAAACCUACUUAAGAAGGUCUGUGUUAAUUAACAAUUUGCUGAGGAAGAUACAUCUAGAGACGGAGAAAGAGAGCUAUGAAUACUUUAAAGAAGCUCCCUGUUAUAAGACUGCUUAUUCUGAUACAAGAAAACGGCUGAAGUUCAUGGUACAGGAAUGCUGUUCUCAGUCUCUUUAUUAUGAAGAGCUGCAUUCAUAUCAUAUUGUGCCUUAUGCUUCGGAGAAUGCCAUUUAUGGGAUGGGCUACACUAGCAGCCACUUGGAGCAAAAUUCUCAGUUGCUUAUUUAUAAAAUGAAUUAAAGUAACUGUUAAGUUCAUUGAUACUUUGUUUCUAAAUGCCUGACCUGUUUUAGUGAAGAUAUUGAAAAAAGGCACUAAUUACCAGUGCACUUGAGAUCAAAGAUGGCAUGCACGCUGAACUGAGUGGAAAGAACCCUGGUUAUUACUCGGCAGUCCUUAGUAUCGUCCAAAUUGAAGCUAUGUCCACAUAUUAUAAAGCAGCAAAUAAGUGCUGUAAAGGCAAAGAUUUUUAUGUUUUUUUUUCUUAAAGAUAAGAUGAUGUGUACAAAGGGACCUAUGUCAAGGUCUCAUGUGAAUUUAAACUUUUAAGCCCCCGUUUCCAAAUUCUGCCAUUCCUAGUGGAAAGUGACAAAAUGUGACCCUGAACUGACAAUGCAGGAUCCCUGAAUAUUAAGGGUGGAAUGAAUUUACUUUUCCGUAAAUGAUGAGGGGAAGAUAGGCUCUUUCUGAAAAGUUUUGGCUUGUCAAGCAUUGUGCCAAAUAAUUGUUUGACACCAUUCUCCUUCUAUGGUUUGUGGCAAUUUAAGAUGAGGCAAACAUAUUGCAACUUAACUGCUGAAUGUAACAACCAGAUUACUCCAAACUGAUCCAUUUUUUUUGUUUUGUUUUAUACUUUUGGCUUGAUAGACAUUUAUCUUUUAAAGUAAAAUUUAUUAAAAUGAGCCUUGCAGAUGGGCUUAUCUCUGAGUUCUAGAGGUCAUUUAAAAUUUGUGGUUGGUCUUAAGGGUUUAAAUUUAAUUUAUGAUGUCAUUUUUAUAGGCUGUGAAGCUCAGGAAAAGGGUAGGCAGGUCAAUUUGUUUUAAUAGCUUGACAAUUAAAAAAAUCUUAUCUGCAAAAAUUAGUGAAAACCACAGAAAUUCUACAUGAUGUUAUUUCUUCAUCGAAGAGUACUUUUAAGGCUGCCUGGACGAAACUUGCACUGAUUUUUGUAUAAUAGUUGACCAUUCACUAUUUGACAAAAUGUAUCAGAAUGCUUUUGGUGGUGAAGUUUAGAUAAGUCCCUAUAUUUUGCAAUUUGAAAGAUAAUUAUUUAACAAGUUGGAUAGUUUCCUGAAAUUAUUUGAAGUGGUUCAUAACGUUCUUUGAGGUUUGAGUGAGAUGUCUGAUUUCAGUGUCCAGAGUCAUGUCCUAUGGAGCAUAUCAUUCAAAGAACUGUCAUUAACUGAUAAAACAGAUUGGGAAAACUAGGUGCCAAAGGUAUAUUCAAGAAAAUACCAAAGACCCAAAGAUGAGUGUUAGAGAGACUA